rnacentral:rRNA from 1 species
CGCAGCCGCGGUAAUUCCAGCUCCAAUAGCGUAUAUUAAAGUUGUUGCAGUUAAAAAGCUCGUAGUUGAACUUCGGGAUUUACCCAUUGGUCAGGCUUAAUUGUCUGUACUGGUGAGAUAAAUCUCUACCUUCUGAGGAACUUUCAUGUCAUUAAUUUGGUGUGAUUGGAAAUCAGGACUGUUACUUUGAAAAAUUAGAGUGUUUAAAGCAGGCUAACGUCUGAAUACAUUAGCAUGGAAUAAUGAAAUAGGACGGACUGAUUCUAUUUCGUUGGUUUCUAGGAUCACCGUAAUGAUUAAUAGGGAUAGUUGGGGGCAUUAGUAUUCAAUUGUCAGAGGUGAAAUUCUUGGAUUUAUUGAAGACUAACUACUGCGAAAGCAUUUGCCAAGGAUGUUUUCAUUAAUCAAGAACGAAAGUUAGGGGAUCGAAGACGAUCAGAUACCGUCGUAGUCUUAACCAUAAACUAUGCCGACUAGGGAUCGGACGAAGUUAAUUUUAAUGACGCGUUCCGGCACCU